GAUGAACGCUGGCGGCGUGCCUAAUACAUGCAAGUCGAGCGAACGGACGAGAAGCUUGCUUCUCUGAUGUUAGCGGCGGACGGGUGAGUAACACGUGGAUAACCUACCUAUAAGACUGGGAUAACUUCGGGAAACCGUAGCUAAUACCGGAUAAUAUUUUGAACCGCAUGGUUCAAACGUGAAAGACGGUCUUGCUGUCACUUAUAGAUGGAUCCGCGCUGCAUUAGCUAGUUGGUAAGGUAACGGCUUACCAAGGCAACGAUGCAUAGCCGACCUGAGAGGGUGAUCCGCCACACUGGAACUGAGACACGGUCCAGACUCCUACGGGAGGCAGCAGUAGGGAAUCUUCCGCAAUGGGCGAAAGCCUGACGGAGCAACGCCGCGUGAGUGAUGAAGGUCUUCGGAUCGUAAAACUCUGUUAUUAGGGAAGAACAUAUGUGUAAGUAACUGUGCACAUCUUGACGGUACCUAAUCAGAAAGCCACGGCUAACUACGUG
rnacentral:rRNA from 1 species